AGUGAACGCUGGCGGUAGGCCUAACACAUGCAAGUCGAACGGCAGCACAGUAAGAGCUUGCUCUUACGGGUGGCGAGUGGCGGACGGGUGAGGAAUACAUCGGAAUCUACUUUUUCGUGGGGGAUAACGUAGGGAAACUUACGCUAAUACCGCAUACGACCUACGGGUGAAAGCAGGGGAUCUUCGGACCUUGCGCGAUUGAAUGAGCCGAUGUCGGAUUAGCUAGUUGGCGGGGUAAAGGCCCACCAAGGCGACGAUCCGUAGCUGGUCUGAGAGGAUGAUCAGACACACUGGAACUGAGACACGGUCCAGACUCCUACGGGAGGCAGCAGUGGGGAAUAUUGGACAAUGGGCGCAAGCCUGAUCCAGCCAUACCGCGUGGGUGAAGAAGGCCCUCGGGUUGUAAAGCCCUUUUGUUGGGAAAGAAAAGCAGCAGGUUAAUACCCCGCUGUUCUGACGGUACCCAAAGAAUAAGCACCGGCUAACUUCGUG
rnacentral:rRNA from 1 species